rnacentral:piRNA from 1 species
UGGGUAAGAAUGAAGUCAGGCCUGUGA